rnacentral:rRNA from 1 species
UACGGGGGGGGCAAGCGUUGUUCGGAAUUACUGGGCGUAAAGGGCUCGUAGGUGGCCAACUAAGUCGGACGUGAAAUCCCUCGGCUUAACCGGGGAACUGCGUCCGAUACUGGUUGGCUUGAGUUUGGGAGAGGGAUGCGGAAUUCCAGGUGUAGCGGUGAAAUGCGUAGAUAUCUGGAGGAACACCAGUAGCGAAGGCGGCACUCUGGGCCGGUACUGACGCUGAGGAGCGAAAGCGUGGGGAGCAAACAGG